rnacentral:rRNA from 1 species
GUAGGUGGCAAGCGUUGUCCGGAAUUAUUGGGCGUAAAGCGCGCGCAGGCGGUCCUUUAAGUCUGAUGUGAAAGCCCACGGCUCAACCGUGGAGGGUCAUUGGAAACUGGGGGACUUGAGUACAGAAGAGGAAAGCGGAAUUCCAAGUGUAGCGGUGAAAUGCGUAGAGAUUUGGAGGAACACCAGUGGCGAAGGCGGCUUUCUGGUCUGUAACUGACGCUGAGGCGCGAAAGCGUGGGGGGCAAACAGGAUUAGAUACCCUGGUAGUCCACGCCGUAAACGAUGAGUGCUAAGUGUUAGGGGGUUUCCCGCCCCCCUUAGUGCUGCAGCUAACGCAUUAAGCACUCCGCCUGGGGAGUACGGCCGCAAGGCUG